AUGGAGCCAUGGCAGAGAAGCGAGGGCGCCAGCGUCAAGAAGCCCAGGACCCCGCCGGCGCCGCCCGGGGCCUACACCGGCGCCGAGCUCCUCGGGGAAAUACUCCGUCGCCUCCCCGACACGGGGUCUCUCGCCAGCGCCGCCCUCGUCUGCAAGCGCUGGGGCCGCGUCGCUUCCGACCCCGCCGUCUUCCGCCGCUUCAGCUCCCUCCGCAGGCCGCCGCUCGUCGGCGUCAUCCUCACCGACCUUGGCCGCGAGCGCGUCCCCCUCCACAACCCUGCUCUCCGCUUCGUCACGGCACAGUCGCGUCACCUAGAGCUGGGCGUCGCCGCAGCAUUAGGCGAUUUCUACUUCCAACGCCACCCCGAGAUUAAAGCUGCCGACGAGUGGCGCCUCCGUGGCUGCGACGGCGGCCUCCUCCUCCUCUCCUGCGGCCGCUAUGCGUCGAAGCUCGCCGUCUACGACCCUCUCCAGCGGACUGCCAUCUUCUUCCAGCCACCCGAGCGCUGGCACACCGCCGGUACGCCAUCGUCGCCGACGAGGCCGACGCCUCGUUCCAGGUCAUCGGCAUAG
rnacentral:rRNA from 1 species